rnacentral:rRNA from 1 species
GACGAACGCUGGCGGCGUGCUUAACACAUGCAAGUCGAACGGAAAGGCCCUGCUUUUGUGGGGUGCUCGAGUGGCGAACGGGUGAGUAACACGUGAGUAACCUGCCCUUGACUUUGGGAUAACUUCAGGAAACUGGGGCUAAUACCGGAUAGGAGCUCCUGCUGCAUGGUGGGGGCUGGAAAGUUUCGGCGGUUGGGGAUGGACUCGCGGCUUAUCAGCUUGUUGGAGGGGUAGUGGCUUACCAAGGCUUUGACGGGUAGCCGGCCUGCGAGGGUGACCGGCCACAUUGGGACUGAGAUACGGCCCAGACUCCUACGGGAGGCAGCAGUGGGGAAUAUUGCACAAUGGGCGGAAGCCUGAUGCAGCAACGCCGCGUGCGGGAUGACGGCCUUCGGGUUGUAAACCGCUUUCGCCUGUGACGAAGCGUGAGUGACGGUAAUGGGUAAAGAAGCACCGGCUAACUACGUG